rnacentral:rRNA from 1 species
AUACGUAGGGGGCGAGCGUUGUCCGGAAUGAUUGGGCGUAAAGGGCGCGUAGGCGGCCCGGUAAGUCUGGAGUGAAAGACCUGUUUUUAAGAUGGGAAUUGCUUUGGAGACUGUCGGGCUUGAGGGCAGGAGAGGGAAGUGGAAUUCCCAGUGUAGCGGUGAAAUGCGUAGAGAUUGGGAGGAACACCAGUGGCGAAGGCGACUUACUGGACUGUAACUGACGCUGAGGCGCGAAAGUGUGGGGAGCAAACAGGAUUAGAUACCCUGGUAGUCCACACUGUAAACGAUGAAUGCUAGGUGUAGGGGGUAUCGACCCCUUCUGUGCCGCAGUCAACACAAUAAGCAUUCCGCCUGGGGAGUACGGCCGCAAGGUUGAAACUCAAAGGAAUUGACGGGG